rnacentral:rRNA from 1 species
GGGGAAUAUUGGACAAUGGGGGGAACCCUGAUCCAGCCAUGCCGCGUGUGUGAAGAAGGCCUUAUGGUUGUAAAGCACUUUAAGCGAGGAGGAGGCUCUUUUGGUUAAUACCCAAGAUGAGUGGACGUUACUCGCAGAAUAAGCACCGGCUAACUCUGUGCCAGCAGCCGCGGUAAUACAGAGGGGGCGAGCGUUAAUCGGAUUUACUGGGCGUAAAGCGUGCGUAGGCGGCUUUUUAAGUCGGAUGUGAAAUUCCCGAGCUUAACUUGGGAAAUGGAUUCGGUUAUGGGAAGGUAGAGGAAUGGAAAAGAAUGUAAAAUUCCAGGGGUAGCCGUUAAAUGCCUAAGGAUCUUGAGGAAUACCCAUUGGGAAGGCAGCCAUCUGGCCUAAUACUGACGCUGAGGUACGAAAGCAUGGGGAGCAAACA